rnacentral:lncRNA from 1 species
GGAAUGGAAAGGUCUGCAUCCUGCUGGUUCCUUUUCUGCAGCACAGGAGAAAGGCAGUGAUGGACAGAGCAUGUGUGUGAGCAGGAGGGAACAAGGAUUUCUGUGUGGCUGCAGGAUAUGAGGAGAAACAGAGCGUGCCAGAGCUGCCAAGUUAAAAGCCUAAGCUUCAGAAGUGACAUUGACUCUAUUUAUUAGCACAACAAUGGGCUUGCUGUGGCUCCCGUGGCAUUCCAGGAUUGCUCAGAGCUAAAUGAGACCUCAAUACAAUGGACACCAAAGCUCUGGAUUUUCACUUACUUCAACAGAAAGCAAACAAGUGUGAGAGUAAGUAAGAAUCAGACCUCAAACCCCAGUAGCUAUGGCCUCCUCUGAUGGAAUUUCCA